GGGCCAUUAGCUCAGUUGGUUAGAGCAACCGGCUCAUAACCGGUUUGUCCGGGGUUCGAGUCCCUGAUGGCCCA
rnacentral:tRNA from 1 species